GUAGAUACCUACCCUCUGGUUCAGGAUAGCUGCGGGAAACUGCAGGUAAUACUGAAUAAAGUCUCCGGACCAAAGGUGUGAUUCCACCGGAGGAUGGGUCUGCGUCCUAUUAGCUUGUUGGUGGGGUAACGGCCUACCAAGGCAAUGAUGGGUAGCGGGUGUGAGAGCACGACCCGCGUCACUGGGACUGAGACACUGCCCAGACACCUACGGGUGGCUGCAGUCGAGGAUCUUCGGCAAUGGGCGCAAGCCUGACCGAGCGACGCCGCGUGCGGGAUGAAGGCCUUCGGGUUGUAAACCGCUGUCAGAGGGGAUGAAAUAUUUGGGGGUUCUCCCCCAAGUUUGACAUAUCCUCAGAGGAAGUGUGGGCUAAGUUCGUGCCAGCAGCCGCGGUAAGACGAACCACACAAACGUUAUUCGGAAUUACUGGGCUUAAAGGGUGCGUAGGCGGCGCGGAAAGUUGGGUGUGAAAUCCCUCGGCUCAACCGAGGAACUGCGCCCAAAACUACCGUGCUU
rnacentral:rRNA from 1 species